UUAGUAUUUUUUGUGUGUUUUUUCGUGUCUGGUGGCGAGGAUGGCGUCCUCUGAGCUGGUGCCACCACACAGCUCCACAGUAGAGCAGGUGCUGCUGGCUGUGGGGGAGCAGAUAGGCCACGGAAACAUCCUUUAUGCCUCUCGCAUGAAUACAGCGGUCGUGGUAGUUUUUGAAAGACCGGAGUUGUGUAAGUGAAGUUAUCGAGAGUGGUUUAACUUUAGAUGAGGGGUUCUUUCAAGUUUCCCCGCUGGCUGUUCCCUCUACACGGAUUACUGUGUCCGGCGUUCCUCCUUUCAUCCCGAGCAAAGCGCCGGGACGAGAACUGAAGCGGUUCGGUCCGCAGAGACGAGACGGCACACAGCGGGCUGACAGUGGCGAGAGGAGCGGUGAGAGGAGUGGCGAGGCCGCUCUGACGGUGAGUGCGGCAGCGGCGGCCGGCUCCGCGCGCGGACCCUCUGCGGCUGACGCAAAGCCGAGUGUUUCAAGAGAUGUAGCAGCCGACAGAGAGGCCUGGUUCUGCCUAAACUGGUUCACUGGUUCAGGGAGGGCAGGUUCCUCAUCGACAUCGCCUCCUUCUUUCUGCUGGUCUGCUGUGGCCCGGUUGCUGCUCUGGAGGGCCGGGCGGCUCGGCUAUGAUAAACAACUGUUCCUGAUGAAGUCCCCUUUGUGCAGCCAUGCUGGCCUUACACCUUUUUAGAGCUCUGUCAUCGAUGCCUGGAGGACUCUGAGCUUUACUCGACCACCUGACCCCAGGCCUGGGAUGUGGCUGUUUGAGAAACCUUUGUUUGAUAAUGGAUUCCUUUUUGAUACCAUCUUCUCUUCAGCCACCCUAAAAACAGCUUUCAUUGAGGUGGGAGUAGUGAAGCUGGGCCAUCUUACACAGACAUCAAUUGAGAGUCUGGCUGAAGUGAUACGGUCAACCAGAGUGCUGCAGAACCUGGUGAACGGAGUGUGGCAAUCUCUGUCGGCAGAACUUCAGACUUUUGUGCAGAGCCGAAGUUUGGCUGACCAGUGGAGUACAGGACAUGAGUAUGUCUUCCCUCCCCCUUGAGUGUGAGUCCUGAGGUGGGGGAAUGGAGAGAGGAGAGAGGUCUUGUUUUAACCUUAAAAGCUCCAGCUCUGGAAACAUUCAGCACCUGUCCAAGUAAACAGCUGUACUCCAGCUGUGUGAAGCUACUGAACUUUUCUCUUCUUGCAGGAGUCAGAGAGUCAAAGUGGACUGAGGUGUUGGGCUCAAACUUUUCUCCUAAUGGCAGCUCCUGUACAAUGGCAGCUCCUGUACAAUCCUCCUGUCAAGAAACGGAUGGCUGACUUCCAUUGGAGGUUUAUACAUGGAGCGAUAGCUACGAACAGACACAGAGCUCACUUUGACCCAUGCACUGGGGAGGGUUGUCCUUUCUGUUCACUCACAGAGACCUUAAACCACCUGGUGCUGUCCCCCCCAGAUUGGUGGAUGUUUUUAAAAUGCUGCAGGAGUGGGUGGAGGGCUUGGGAGAGGUGUUCUCUGUUCCCCUCUUUGUCUUUGAACCAAAAUACUCACCUAAGAAAAGGCAAACUUUGGUUUUAUUCAAUUUUAUAUUUGCAAGUGCCAAACUAGCGAUCUGGAAAAGCUGAAAAAACAAACUCCUUGAAAAAGGCUGGACAGACCCAGUACGCUGUCUGAGGGGUUUAGUAGCGGUCCGUCUGAGGGUAGAACACACAUAUUUUAGACUAACCAACAACCUGGAUGGUUUAAAAGCUAUGUGGGCUGUUAGGCAGGUCUUAUGCUCACUGGGAGAGGAUGGCUCUUUAGUUUUACAUUUUUAGAAGGAUGGUUGUUUUAUAGUUGUUUUUUUUUUUUUGUGUGAUUAGUUAUGCACCAAUUGAAAUAAGUAUUUAAGGGUUGCUUAGAAUGUUUUUUAAAUAAAGUUACUUGAAAGUCAAAAGUUUUCUUCUUCUUCUUCUUCUUCCACAAGCAAAACUGCCAUUACCACCCCCCUCAGAUGUUGGCUAUUUAAAUUGAAAUGUUAAAUAUGUACUCAUAAAUAUACAAGAAAAGAAAACAUUAAGGAAUAGAAUAAUUGCCCAAGAUUAAUAUUAUCUCUAACAGUUGUGUUUGUGCAAAAGAGGAAAAACUCAAAUAAAUGAAUAUAGCCUAAUCUGACUUACUUAUGUUAUUUUCACUAACUUUUAAGGCUAUAUUGCAAGCCAGACAAUGCUGGUGACUGUGAAUAUUUGAUGUGUAUAUCAGCUGUUUGAUACAGAUUGGUAAAAUUGGGUUUAAACCAGCUAGUUUUUCAAUUAUUAUUGUAAAAACAAUAAUGCAUUUAAUUGUGACAUCACAGAGACAACAAAAAUAAACAUUAUAGAUAAAGGAAUGCAAUGACAAAACAAUUACUGUAGUUUAAAUAAGUACAUGCUGACAAAAAUAUUCUGUAGAGGGCUUAGAUAACGCUAAAAGUCAUUUUUGUACUUGUAGUCAUGCUAUGAUCUGAACCAAGGAGUGAGGCAAAAAGUUAAAGGUGCAUCUGUUAUAAUAAACAGAUUCAGUUUGUACUAAUGUGUGAUAGGGCUGAUAUAUAACCAGAAUUAAGUCUUCAAAGAGUAAAUAUUCCGUUAUCUUCUCAGCACAAUUAAAAACAAAAGUCUAAUAGAAAUGACUUUUACUGCAGCAGGUCAGACGUAGUUCAAGUUAUUUUAAAGCUUGCCUCUCUGUUCCAGUGAACUGGUGCUAGAUAUAGAGGUUUAAAGAAGAUCAGCAAAGCACCAAAAUAACUCACAACUGUAUGACAAAGGUAUCUAAGCCUGUUUUUAGAUGUUAUGUAAAAUGGAAAUAUUAUUGGUUCCUAUUAAAGAUUUCUGUAUCAUAUUGCUAAUACAGAAAAUCUCUGAUACAGGAAUAAUAGUUCAUAGUUGAAAAUUAUUAGUGCGUGUUAUCUGUAUACAACUGCAACUACAAAUAACACAGUUAAAAAGAAGCACUUUCAGUUUUUAUAAAACUGUUGACUGUUUUUUGUAAACUUUUUCUUUAGUUUGUUUUUUUUCUUUGGUUUUACAAUGGAAAUGGCUGUACAGGGCUAAUUAGGGAGAUAUUGUUUUGCAGGCUAUAAACAGCCACCUGAGGCCAGCCCGCAUUACCCAAAUGAGCUUAUGGUCUUACGAGUAGGUGAGUUUUAUAUGCUUUAACGUGACAUAUGUGCAUGCUGAGAAGUUCGCUGAAAGCCUCACUAAUCCUCUCAGCUGCUUGUCCUUUGAAAGGUACGGAAGGAUGUGUUUCAGAGCAGGAUCCAACACAUUUUUUGUUGAAAUGACUAUAAAUCUUUGGAUUUAUUUUGCCUAUCAAUGACCGGUAGGAGGGAUUUGAAAAAUGGAUUUAUCAAUAUUUUGUUUUGGUUGCAUCAUCGUCGAUAGGGAUCUUAUCAGACUGGACAACCUCAGCCAUCUGAAAAUGACAGAUACAGCAGGUGGCUAAAGACCUUGGCUAUUCUCUGCAUAACUGCCUGCUUUGCUUUGCUUCGCUGCACCUUUAAGAAGAGAGAAAAAUCUGCUUGUGUUUGAAAACAUCGGAAAUGGGCUGCUCACCAUCCAAAGGUAACAAUUUGGGGAUUUUGGGUCCCAUGAGGAAGGGGAGAAUGUUGCCCCCUGCACCUCAAGAGAAAGAUUCCCACGUUGACAAUGGAGAGAGUUGUAGUCCAACUGGAUGGACAAAUGGGGAUAAGAACGAAAGGAAGGCAGUCGGACAAACCCAGGUAUCUCACAGAGAGGCUCAUAUGUCACCACAAAAAAAGAGAUCUGUGACUGAGCUAGCUCCUGAAGCAGCAAACACAGAUAAAUUGGGAAGUCAAGGAAAGGACAACAACACAGUUUCACAGAAGAAAGAGAAAAACAUUGACAAGCAGGAUGUGACAGAAAAAAAGCCUGGCAGGAAACCUAAGAAAAAUACUAGAGGUAUUAAAGUGCUAAAAAAGAAAGACAAGGACAAUGAAAAACCAGCUACAGAACAGAAAGUGGACUUCCCAGAACCUUUGGUAAAAGCUCACCAAGCUGCUUAUACCUUUUUGAAUCCCAGUAUAACGAAAUAUGACAUUCUACUUGGACUUUUGGAACAAGCAACACAAACACAGGCUUCUGUGCAGCCUAUGGUUGCUUUUAUGGCUCUACGCUAUGAGGAAAUGAUUCAUGGACUGGAGGAGAUUGCAGAUGAGGGAGAAAAAGUUUUAAAAGAAAAUGGAGAGCAUCUCGCCUGGCCAAGUCAAAUGAAAAAUCUCUCAUCUUCCACACCUCUGAAGUCGGGCUGCGCUAAUGUUGAGCCCCCUCCGGAUUUGUUGCAGCAGCUGCUUCAGUACACCACACAGAGAAUGCGAAAUGUGAGUCAGACUGUUGGUGGAAUUGGGGACUCUGCUUUAGAGGAGGCGGUGGAGUACUUUGCCUCUGUCUCAGAAGUUUUAGAGGAGAAACUAAAAGUCAAACGUGCAGUAGAGACUAGGCUAAUGCAACUCUUAUCUCGCAUUGAACUCGCCUCUCUUCGUAAGCCAGGGCCUGAGGAUUCUGCUCUCUUUAGUGAGGACAGCGGCAUUGGGGCUGAGAAUGAAUCUCUUGCUGGAUCUGAAAGACGCCUUAGACGAGAGAGUUGUGAGUCUAGUGGGACCAAUAGAACUCCUACUGUCAGUCCUGUGGGAUACACCUCGAUGAACAUAAGGCAAGGAGUGUCAAGGCAAAAGGUCAGAAGAAAAAUAAGUCCAAGUGUCUCUCUCACCUCACUCAACUCAUUAGGUUCUACAUGUACCAUAAUGGCUAAUGACCAAAGAGACUCAGUAUUAGGAUCGGCCUCCUUAGAUGAUGGGGAAGAUGAUGACAAUGAUGAGGAUGAGGAGGUGGAUAGAAGCAUUGGACCUGUGCAAGUAGGGUUUAUAAAACGAUCAAAUUCUUCACUUGACAGCGAACAAUGCCCACACCGCCUACCUCCAAAACGCAUAGAGAAUCCUAAAAAUGUAGAAAUGACUCUGAAAAUGAAAAAUGCUAUAAGUGGUAGGAUACAGUUUGUCCCAUCUCAGAGCUCUAGUCCCAAAACAAAGGUUGCUGGCAGUCCGAAAACCAGCAGGCGCCAGUGGACAGAUGAGGAGGAACGAUCUCCAAGGAGGCCUCAAACAGCAGCACCUAUUCGGAAAGCAGUGGCAAAAAAGACCCCAGUGAUUAUCGAACGACGUUCCCGGUCAGCAGAAUCCCUCCGGAGCAAAGGUGAAGAUCCUACUCUGCUUGAACUAGACAGAACCCAGAAGGAUUUAAACCAAAGGUUGCAGAGGAUGAGUAAAACCAAGACAUGUGGAAACACAAGGUCUGCACCACCUAAACAAAAUCAAGUAACGUCACCAGCACAGUCUCCAGCAAUAAAUCGCAAACAUCCCUCAUUAGGCAAAAGCAGCAAUGCCCAACCACUUAAAGACAAAGCAGGCCUUGAAAGGCACAGCAACAAAAAACAGACCAUAACCAGUGAUGUCGAAGAAGAUAAAUCAAAGAAUAAGAACACAUCCAAGGGUCCUAUUAAAGCCACCCCACCCCCGAGCCCGCCUUUAUCACCACGACCAUCUUCGGGUCUCUACAGAGGGCGGAACUCAGUCAAAAAACUGAUUGACACCUUCAGUCAGGGAAUAGAGGAUUUAGAUGGUCCUAAAGUUCUGGGGCCUCUGAGAGGAGUACAGAAGUGUGGUGUUCCUGUGUUACCUGGUUUAGGAAAUGUAGAAGCUGUGCUUAGUGCUGGGUUAACCAGUUGUAGACCUGAAUCCUCUUCAUUGGAGAAAAACGACUAUUUUGAUCUCGAUAGUCUUCCUCCGCCUCCUCCUGAAGUAUUAAUGGACAAUUCCUUUGAAAGUGCCCAGAGUCUUCCAAGUAGUGUAGCAGAUGAAGGGGCUAUGAAAGUCAGAAAAUCACCUUUAUUAAAAAGGUCUGUAUUAUCGCAACGACUGAGGGCCUCAGUUCAGCCAGUAACAGUGCUGCCAAGUAAAGGAGGCCUACCACAGGCAUCCAAGGUUAUUUCCCUUGCCAAAGCUGAUCAAAAAGACACAUCUGCUCACUCAAAAGCCAAUUCAUCAGGUGUUCAACCGGAGGUAGACACAGGAGAGGAAAAUGAUUCCUUGAACCAGCAACACAGAAAGAUCAUUCACUUAAAACACUCUUCAGACUCAGAGAAAUUGUUAACAAGUUAUGUAGCAACAAAUCCAUCUGCUAGUCAAGAAGAAUCAGCUGAUACUCAAGAUGGUGGUAACCUUUCAGUGCCUGGCCCUAGCACUACAGCGUCGACAGUGCCUACUUCAAUAGUUAGCAGCCAACCACCUGCCACCCCAACCAUGUCAAGGGGACGAAUGUUACCAUCCACUCCGUCGACACCACCACACAGCAGUCUACAUCGAAGACUUCCCAGUCCCCACAACUUCAAAAGGCAACCUACCCCGACCUCUUCAGCUAGUCCUCCUGUUACCAGGAAAGUCCCCACACCACCAGCAGUUCAUAGGAGACUCCCCAGUCCACCUGUUGCAAAGCAGAAUAUUUCAAACUCAAGUGCAUCCUCCUCCUACCCUUUCAAAGCACCAUCUCCACCAGCCUCUCCAAAAGUGCAAAGAUGGUCAAGGGAGAACAGUAGUGAAGACUCAUCUAGUGCUCGGACUAUUACGAAUGCACGUUCAGUCUUCUGCCCCGCAUCUCCAUCCUUGUUUGAGGCCCAACCUUGUCCAGUUCCCCGACCCCCUCAAGCUUGGAUGUCAACAGGAGUCUCUUUUCUCUCACGAUCUUGGGGGGGUCGUGGGACGUUUCCUGUAUCUUUUCAAGGACCACGACCCUUCAUCCGACGUAGCCAUUCAGACCGAAGGCCAAGUCUAAGUCUGCCACCAACAUCAACCGGCAUUUCAGUAGCUGAGACAUGUGGAAGUGAGCCAGCAAUAUAUUUGAAGGGGCUGGAUGACGAACCAACCAGGAAUGAUGAACUGUGGGGUAGCCAAUCAGACCUCAGAGCUACACCACGCUCUGCGUCACACCCGGACCUGUGUGUUGUUGGACAGGCUUUGCACAGAGACUAAAGGGGCCAAUGGAGGACCAGUGGGAUUAUGGAUUAGGAGGCCUUACCAUGGAUUUAACACAGUGAUGUUUAUUCCACUGGGCAGGAAGGCACUGGCAACCACCAAUUGGGCUUCCGAGAAUGGCAUGAGGGACCAAUGGCGGGUUCGAGGGGUGGGACCACCCACCUGGUUGUAAGGUUAAAGAUGAGGAGACUGGCACAGAACAGGAGAGAGGAAAAAGAAGGAAAUGAAGGCAGAAGUGUGGAAGGACAACGAGACCUCCUGAACCUUGACGGUGGUGUACUAGGUGUGCAGAGACAAAGAGACGUCCAGUGCAAACAUGGUGGUGUACCAGGCAGGUGGCGAGACUGAUGAGUCACCACCUUUCCUCUGCUAAACUGGAUGGCAGGUUUUGUUAGAGAAUCUUUAAAUCUUUGAAUUGUAGUAUUUUUAAAACUCUUAGCUGUGUACAUUCAACAAUUGUCAAAUACAUUUGAACAGUUUUUACCUUGAACUUUGGCUUGUCUCCUCAGUAUUGUUCCCUACCUGAUUUAAAAAAAAAAUAAAAAAUUACAUUACAUUACAUUAACCCCCCCUUACAACAAUAUAUUUUCUUACUGUUUAAUC